rnacentral:rRNA from 1 species
CUACGGGGUGCUGCAGUGGGGAAUAUUGGACAAUGGGCGAAAGCCUGAUCCAGCCAUGCCGCGUGAGUGAUGAAGGCCCUAGGGUUGUAAAGCUCUUUUGUGCGGGAAGAUAAUGACGGUACCGCAAGAAUAAGCCCCGGCUAACUUCGUGCCAGCAGCCGCGGUAAUACGAAGGGGGCUAGCGUUGCUCGGAAUCACUGGGCGUAAAGGGUGCGUAGGCGGGUCUUUAAGUCAGAGGUGAAAUCCUGGAGCUCAACUCCAGAACUGCCUUUGAUACUGAGGAUCUUGAGUUCGGGAGAGGUGAGUGGAACUGCGAGUGUAGAGGUGAAAUUCGUAGAUAUUCGCAAGAACACCAGUGGCGAAGGCGGCUCACUGGCCCGAUACUGACGCUGAGGCACGAAAGCGUGGGGAGCAAACAGGAUUAGAUACCCGUGUAGUC